rnacentral:rRNA from 1 species
AUUGAACGCUGGCGGAAUGCUUUACACAUGCAAGUCGAACGGCAGCACGGACUUCGGUCUGGUGGCGAGUGGCGAACGGGUGAGUAAUGUAUCGGAACGUGCCCAGUCGUGGGGGAUCACGUAGUGAAAAUUACGCUAAUACCGCAUACGAUCUAUGGAUGAAAGCGGGGGAUCGCAAGACCUCGCGCGAUUGGAGCGGCCGAUAUCAGAUUAGGUAGUUGGUGGGGUAAAGGCCCACCAAGCCAACGAUCUGUAGCUGGUCUGAGAGGACGACCAGCCACACUGGAACUGAGACACGGUCCAGACUCCUACGGGAGGCAGCAGUGGGGAAUUUUGGACAAUGGGCGAAAGCCUGAUCCAGCCAUUCCGCGUGCAGGAUGAAGGCCCUCGGGUUGUAAACUGCUUUUGUACAGAACGAAAAGGUUUCUACUAAUACUAGGAGCUCAUGACGGUACUGUAAGAAUAAGCACCGGCUAACUACGUGCCAGCCGCAGCAGUAA